AAAUAAAGUGCCUGAUUAAAGGAUUAUUCGGAUAGAGUAAAUUAAGUAGAACUCUACCUUUAUUA
rnacentral:tRNA from 1 species